UUCUUCUUCUCCCAUUGGGUUGUUUUUGAGAGCAGUCUUUUUUGGUUGUUUCAUGCCUAGCAUCCCAGUAAGUUAAGUGUAAAAUACUGGAAUAAAGAAAUUAUGAAGAGAGCAAAAUUUUAAGCGCGGUCGAACGGAAGAUCGAUAAUACCAACUGAAAUUACCCAAAGGACAAGGGUAUAAGUUGGCAGAUGCUGUACCAUCAUGAGAUUAUUACAUACAGACCGCAAACUCUAAUGGAUUUUUCACACAGAGCAAUCAAACCGACGCAUAAUAAACGUUUAUUUUCGUUCCACUUAUUUCCUUUCUGUUGACGCAAGUAGUAUCAAGGUUUUUCGUAGCCAAUUUACAUCGAACUGACAUUUUUUUGUGUUAUUAUUUGUAAAAACGCGCAGUUUUGUUUAAUAAUGUUUAGUUUAAUUGGCGAUAUUUAGAUUUCUUUUUCGAUAAUGUACAAAAAUUCAAAAACUUUCACUGGAAAAUCAAUAACGCGAACAAAAUAAAAUUGGCCUACAAUCCUUCAAGAAGAAUUGGGGUUGAUAGGUUCAUCGAUUUUUUUGAAUUUUAUUUGUGAAAUAACAUAUCAAACCUUCAUUAUUUUAACAUAUCAACUUUUUUUAUUCUUAUUGCAGACUCACUCAGUUAAUUUUUCCGAAUCGGUAUCUUCGUUGAACAUUAGUCAGCAAUUUUACCGGCCUUGAUGAAUCUGGUCCACCUUUUCUCGCUGUUUGAUUGAUUAGACGCGCCAUUUUCAACAGAUCCCUAUCAUUCGAGAUUUCAGUCAAUUCUGGCAUAUGUCUUAGACGUGUAGAAGGGGAACUAAUGCUCUUAUUUAGAUUUAUACUGGCAGUAAUCCUGAAACAACACAGCUAUGUAAUUGUGAAUUGUAAUUAAAAUCGUCCGACUCUGAA